GUAAAGAUUCUCCAUGGUCCUCCCUCCACAGAAGGCAGGGAAAAAAGACAGGGACACCAAGAAGGAACCACGAAGCCCCACCUGGGAGGGAGGGUAAUCAAAUCAGUAGGUUAAAGUAUUUUACUGGAGACCCAUCACAUGAGGUAAAGUGUGAAAUUUUCUUCUUAUGGCAUCAUAUUUCUACUUAUGACAUCAAAUUUUGAAGUAUUUGGAUUUGGAUCUUCAGAUUAGGAAAAUUUAACUCAUAAAUUGGCUUGCUCAUCUUCCUCUGCCUGGUCCAGGACAAGGCCAUGCAUCUCUUGUGGGGCACCCCAUACUUUCUGAGAAGAUUUCUUUUCUACCUAGACUCCAGGCCAAUCUGCUGUCCUAAAGCCACGGAAACCUUGAAUGAGCUCCACGCCAUGUGGUACUUGUUCAGAAACUUGGUGACCAGCAAUUCACUUAUUUCAUGAGGGUGAGAGAGAGAAAGGCACCCUCAACAGGCUCUUCCUGCAUCCACGUUAGCUUUUUCUGCUAUCUUGACCAGACGCAUCACAUGGUUCCUCUCUGCUCUCUCCACAGUGGAUGCUUUUCAAGUCAGCCGAUACCUCAGAUUCUGCACCCUCAGUUCAGUGGAGGUUCUCAUUUUCUUUCAACAUGUAUGUCCUUUAAAUGCUCUCAACUUUGCAAUCCUUAUGUCAGCCAUAGCACGUGGGAGGAGGGAGUAUCAAAGUCCCACCAGAAACUACACACUCUCUGUUCCUGGGAAAUGUGGCCAGAAUUUCUCUCCAAGGUGUGUCUUCAUGGGAAGAAGAGUGGCAGAAAAGAGGGGAGGUGACAGAGAGUCCCUACUCUGUGGACCCAGGACAGUCUUCUUACAUUCCAUUUUGCUGCUGUGACUUGGAUUCAGAGAAACUACACAUUACAUCAAUUUUACAAUAAUUUAAAAUAGAGAGAAAUUGUGUUUAGGUUUGUUCAAGACUGUCAAAGAGGAAAAAAAAAAAUCCAUACUAGAAGUCCUAAAUUUACCUGAGUAGAUAUCUCUGAGUACCUUUCACUCUGGGUAAUGGGAUGGACUUGAUACCAUCUUCUGGGGCAUGGAUGGAUAUGAAACACACCAACUAUGAAUGGGCAUCUCCUCUGCCAAGCAUUUCUGCAUUCAAAAUGCCUCACAUGGGCUGGGCUAAGUUCAGAGAACUAAUUCCAUUUCCACUCCAGCAUACUCAAAAUAUUCCAGGCAUAACUUCUCUUAAGAAUGGACAAGCUUACAUAAUCAAAAUGUGUUAGAUGAGUUUGGUUCAACCUAAACCUACACACACACACACACACACACACACACACACACACACACCUACAUACUGGUGCUCUACAGCCCACAAUGAAAAAUCAAAUAGAGUCUUCUGGGAAUUAAAGGAGAGCAAAGUAUUUUAGGAUUAGAGUAAAAGAAGGUCAAGCUCUGAAUAAGGUCUGGGUUUAGAGAGUUGGCUAACUCCCCAGAAAAAUCAUACCAGCAGGCAGAAUCUGGAGCAGCCAGACUGGCUGACCAAGAACCUGAUUCUUCUGCCAUGAAAAGGUGUCAACAACAAGCAGAUGCCCGUUAGGUAUCCAGACCCUAUCAUUUACCAGACUAUUCCUGUCUCAUAGGAGACAUAUACUCAUAUAUGCUGAGCAGAGACCAAUAUAUGAAGAUUCCUCUUUCCUUCUUUCCUAAAUUGGGGCUCUUAAUAUAGUUUAAAAUUUUUUUGGUACAUUUUACUAUUUUUCUUUUGUAUGUUGGGUGUAUUGGGAUGGUAAAAUUCAACAUUUGGUCCAGUAUGUUUACAAAAUUUUAGAUAAACAACCUUCCUUUGUUUAUGCAUGAGGAGA